UUACGGCCACACCACGGUGAAACACGUGUUCCCGUACGAUCACCGAAGUUAAGCAACUUCGAGCCUUGUCUGUACCUAAAUGGGUAAACGCUUGAGAAUGGCAGGUGCUG